rnacentral:tRNA from 1 species
UCCCUGAUGGUCCAGUGGUUAAGACUUCACCUUCCAAAGGAGGGGGUGCGAGUUUGAUCCCUGGUCAGGGAA